GGUUUCAUAGUGUAGUCGGUUAUCACAUCUGUCUAACACACAGAAGGUCUCCGGUUCGAGCCCGGAUGAAACCA